AGGGAGCAAACCAGAUUAGAUACCCUGGUAGUCCACGCCGUAAACGAUGAUCAUUAGUCGGUGGAGAAUCACUGACGCAGCUAACGCAUUAAAUGAUCCGCCUGAGUAGUAUGCUCGCAAGAGUGAAACUUAAAGGAAUUGACGGGGACCCGCACAAGCGGUGGAGCAUGUGGUUUAAUUUGAAGAUACACGGAAAACCUUACCCACUCUUG
rnacentral:rRNA from 1 species